rnacentral:rRNA from 1 species
UACGGGGGGUGCAAGCGUUAUUCGGAAUCAUUGGGCGUAAAGAGCGCGUAGGCGGUCUCUUAAGUCAGAUGUGAAAGCCCGGGGCUUAACCCCGGAAGGGCAUUUGAAACUAAGGGACUUGAGUAUGGGAGAGGGAAGUGGAAUUCCUGGUGUAGAGGUGAAAUUCGUAGAUAUCAGGAGGAACACCGGUGGCGAAGGCGACUUCCUGGACCAAUACUGACGCUGAGGCGCGAAGGCGUGGGUAGCAAACAGG